rnacentral:rRNA from 1 species
CUCUGGUAUUGAUUGGUGCUUGCAUCAUGAUUUACAUUUGAGUGAGUGGCGAACUGGUGAGUAACACGUGGGAAACCUGCCCAGAAGCGGGGGAUAACACCUGGAAACAGAUGCUAAUACCGCAUAACAACUUGGACCGCAUGGUCCGAGUUUGAAAGAUGGCUUCGGCUAUCACUUUUGGAUGGUCCCGCGGCGUAUUAGCUAGAUGGUGGGGUAACGGCUCACCAUGGCAAUGAUACGUAGCCGACCUGAGAGGGUAAUCGGCCACAUUGGGACUGAGACACGGCCCAAACUCCUACGGGAGGCAGCAGUAGGGAAUCUUCCACAAUGGACGAAAGUCUGAUGGAGCAACGCCGCGUGAGUGAAGAAGGGUUUCGGCUCGUAAAACUCUGUUGUUAAAGAAGAACAUAUCUGAGAGUAACUGUUCAGGUAUUGACGGUAUUUAACCAGAAAGCCACGGCUAACUACGUGCCAGCAGCCGCGGUAAUACGUAGGUGGCAAGCGUUGUCCGGAUUUAUUGGGCGUAAAGCGAGCGCAGGCGGUUUUUUAAGUCUGAUGUGAAAGCCUUCGGCUCAACCGAAGAAGUGCAUCGGAAACUGGGAAACUUGAGUGCAGAAGAGGACAGUGGAACUCCAUGUGUAGCGGUGAAAUGCGUAGAUAUAUGGAAGAACACCAGUGGCGAA